rnacentral:rRNA from 1 species
AGUGAACGCUGGCGGUAGGCCUAACACAUGCAAGUCGAACGGCAGCACAGUAAGAGCUUGCUCUUACGGGUGGCGAGUGGCGGACGGGUGAGGAAUACAUCGGAAUCUACUUUUUCGUGGGGGAUAACGUAGGGAAACUUACGCUAAUACCGCAUACGACCUACGGGUGAAAGCAGGGGAUCUUCGGACCUUGCGCGAUUGAAUGAGCCGAUGUCGGAUUAGCUAGUUGGCGGGGUAAAGGCCCACAAAGGCGACGAUCCGUAGCUGGUCUGAGAGGAUGAUCAGCCACACUGGAACUGAGACACGGUCCAGACUCCUACGGGAGGCAGCAGUGGGGAAUAUUGGACAAUGGGCGCAAGCCUGAUCCAGCCAUACUGCGUGGGUGAAGAAGGCCUUCGGGUUGUAAAGCCCUUUUGUUGGGAAAGAAAAGCAGCAGGUUAAUACCCCGCUGUUCUGACGGUACCCAAAGAAUAAGCACCGGCUAACUUCGUG